GGAACUGGGAGCGCUUUGUUGACGUCACAUCCAGUACCGGGGAGGGGCGGGGCAGGCGAUUUGGAGUCCUGCGACCCGAUUCACCGCGGUGGAUCCAGUGCUCCGGACCGAGAGCUUGCCAGAAGCGCCGGUCUCCGGCUGGAGCUGACCCUCCGCGGCGAGCGUGGGCUGGGGAAGGAGGCGCCCGUGGGCGGAGCUGAGGAAGUCGCGCUCUGGGCGGCGGUGGUGCUGAUCUGCAACAACUCCGAGUUCUGAGGACACCCUGCAAGGAGCUGAGCAGAUGUGGACAGUGGAAGGUGACCGUCACAGGUUUCUGUAAAGCCCAUUGGGCUUCAGGAGCAGCUCUUCAUGUGUCCCGUGUUCACAGAUCUUUCCGUGGUCAAGGACAGCAACAAAGUUGGCAUUCUUAAUGGUGGACAGGCGGUGGGCUAUGAUCAGCACGGUUCUCCCUUCCAUCAGCCGGUCAAGGGCCUCCUGGACCAGGUGCUCAUUUUCGGCAUCCAGUGCACUGUGACAGACAAGGCCACACACAAGAGGAAGCAGAGAUGACAGAGCUGUAUACAUGGUUGCUCACACUGCUAAGACGCCCUCCAGCCUGGACACACGCACACUAGAUACACUAACACUGUCACACAUGUCACAAAGAUAACCUCACCUGGUUGCUUCAUCAAGGAGAAGAAUUUUGGGGUUCUGAAAAAGUAAGAGUGGAAGAAUCAAAAUGACUUCUCAGUACACACAGCGCUGGACAGCGAGAGGACAGCUGAGGCUCAGUAUGUAAAGGCACUAACCACCAAGCCUGACAGCCCGAACGCCACACCAUUAGACCUGACAAGUUGUUUGCUGACCUUUGUGUACUCCGUCCCAAGAGAAAUAAAUAAAGAGUAAUGAAAC
rnacentral:lncRNA from 1 species